GCGGGUGGCUGCCGUUUCACCUUAGAGGGAGGGAGGGAAACGUGUCCUGAUUUCUGCACCUAAGGUGCUGGAAACCUUACCCUUGCACUUCCACCGUUUCUUUCCUUGUCCUGAAAAGGUCUCUUUUACCCGCUUCACUUCGCUAUCUACACAGUUUGCACUUGCACUGACUCAGAUCUUGUCCUGUCUGGAGGCACGAGACUGAGUUUCUUUGGGCUCUGCUCGCCUACUCUUAAGGGGCUCUACCUUCUUAGGGUGAACUCGGCACCCACCUAGAACCUCCAGUGUGUGAAAGGGCCUACCUACCUCAUUGGGCCCCAACCUCCAGCCUCUUGUGAGAGUGACGACCAGCCCCAAAAUGGCUGCACACAAACAAGACCCUAAGGCAGUAUUUCAGCCCCUUUGAUUCACACACCACCUUUGCAUCGUUGGAAACACCUUUGACCAGCAAUGGAAAAUAAAGGGAACAUACUGCAGUUUCAAUUGUUGUGGGACUCAGGUUUUCUCUCAACACCGCAUACACACUUGGAGACAUGGGAAGAAGGUCUGAUGGAGAAUGUGGCUCUGUUGAAUCACUUCGGCUUAAAGAGAUAACAAGAGGGCAUGAAGUCAGGUGGCUGCAAGUCUGUGAGUGACAACUGUAGGAUAUUCUACAUGAUGGUGCCCAAAGAUUUAGUGCUAUAGAUGAAGAUUUUUAUGGAUUGUAUACACUUUCAUUAAAGAAACAGAAUGGUGAACGUACC
rnacentral:lncRNA from 1 species